rnacentral:lncRNA from 1 species
AUCAAAGUAAAGGAAGAUUCCCAAUCCAAAAGCUACAUUGACAUAACUCAACAAUAAGAACACAGUGUUUCUCGUUCAGUUGAACAUCUACAAAUAUCUCAAGUAAAACCACUAAGCCAGAAUGCUCAAUAGUAAAAAGGGUCAAACGUUCCUACCAUUCAUCUUCAUCGUAGUUUAUGUACUCAUCCCACAUCGAUGCCUUUGUAGUGACUGGUAGUUGACAGGUCCUUGUCUCCUUGUUGCAUUUUGAACUGGAAUGAGUCAACUUCUCAAUGUCAACAAAAUCUUUAGGUUCAAGCUUCAUUGCUCCUCCUGCAAUUUCCAAACAAAAAGCCAAACCAGAAGAAGAAAAACAACUUGGUAAAGGAGCAACUUCUAAAUUUUGGAUAGAAAACAAAUUGCAGAAGAAAUAGGUCUUCACUAGAUCUUCUU